rnacentral:rRNA from 1 species
ACCGGCAGCUCAAGUGGUGGCCAUUUUUAUUGGGCCUAAAGCGUUCGUAGCCGGUUUGAUAAGUCUCUGGUGAAAUCCCGCAGCUUAACUGUGGGACUUGCUGGAGAUACUAUUAGAAUUGAGAUAGGAAGAGGUUAGGGAUACUCCCAGGGUAGGGUUGAAAUCCUAUAAUCCUGGGAGAACCACCUGUGGCGAUGGCGCCUAACGGGAACGAGCCUGACGUUGAAUAACGAAAGGCAGGGGCUCGAGUCA